ensembl:lncRNA
GAAACAGAUGAGACAAAAUACCUUAUGGAUAUUUAGGAGAUUAAUAUUACAAACAGCCAAGACUGAUUGGGAGCUAAGUUCUUCAGAGGAAACGGAGUGCAGUGAUGUUCCAUGUCUCCUCCACAGGACAGGGGACAGGUGUGCGUGUAUGUAUCCCAGACAUCAAGCAGAGGCAGAGGAACUCCGAGGAAGCCAACUGGGGAGCUUGGCUUAGAAAUCUGGAGUAGAAGCAACUGGAGGACUCUGAAGGUAGAGCUCAGAAAAACCACAGCAGGGGAGUCAGCCAACUAGGACCCCAGAUGCGGUGGAGUGGAUGUGAAACGAAAGCCACUCAAGCCUCAGUGAACUUGAGAAAUUUGCAUCUCUCAGCAAACACAUUCUGAGUUCUGAUUAUAUCCUGAACACAGUUCUAAGAUUUUUGAGGAAAGGGUAAUAGAAGUUAAACAUGGUCCACAUCCUUUAAAAGAUUAUUACUUAUUUCCUGAACCAAAAUAAACAUCUGUAUUCAAGAACAGAGCUAAGGGCUAUAGAAAUUCAGGAAAAGGGAAGAACUAAUUUUAUUUUUACCCAUAGACUCAGGCUACCAAUACUAUAAAAUUGUUUCUAAUUUGCUUGUGAGUGUACUUGAACUGUUUCAAGCAAAUACUGUAUGGCUCAACUUUUGUAUAAUGAAAAAUUUAGCAACUAUAUCUUGAUGAUUGUUUCCAUCUUUAAAUCAAUCAAGUUAUUAUGACGGGAGCUACACUAAGGAAAAGAUCCUAUUUGAAUUUUUCAUAUAUAAGUUUGAAAAUGAACAGAUGAAGAAAUGUAUGUUGUUACCAUAGAAAGAGUUGGACUCUUUUAUACUUGUGAGGCUUGAGGUCAUUAACUAUUAAGUGACACUGGUCAUGUUUAGGUAGCCCUAUUGACUUCAGUUUCAAAAUGACUAUCUCUGAUAUCUAUUUCUGUAGUUCUGUUGAACAUACUCUCUCACAGAAAAAAUGUAAACCAUUAGCAGAGUCUUAGUAAUUAAUAUAAUAGUCUACAUUUCUCCUGCCCGUUAGAUUCCCUUACUUCACAUUUGUUUUUGGUUUUCCAUGUUCCCAUCUUACUUGUCUGUUAAGUUUAAAUUGGGACACCCUUAGAAAGAACUGGUCAGGCUCUCUACUGAGGCUGUGUGAAAUGUACUAUUCACAACCAGAAUUAGUUUUAAGGAGCCAAAAUUUUUCUCAAGAAUUAAGAAUGAGGCUCAGGAAGAUAACAAAUAUAUCAGGUGUUGCAAAUUUAAACAAAGGGUUAGCAAAUUCUGUUUAGUUUGCUUGGUUGUCCCACCUCCGACACAAAAUAAACAGUGUAUUUUCUUAUUAUCUAUUGUGAUUCCAAAAAUCUAGUUUCUUCUUCAGACUUGGUACCUUCAUUUUUUAGGUAAUUUCAGCUUGGAGACAUAGAUGAAUGAUGGCUCUAUUCAGGUAUUCAGUACAGUGGACCUUUGUCAGCUCUUCUAAAAUGUCUUUGACAUUCAUCCCUUCUUUUCUAUCACUUGCAAGAGCUAGCAAUAAUUUAGGUCUAUGGAUGCAGCUCAGUAGUAAAGAGCUUGGCUAGCACAAACAACAUCCUGAGUUUAAUCCCCAGCAUGAUAAUCUAUAACAACCCCAUAAAAAUUAAUUUAAUUUGAAUCUUUAUCCCUUCAAAUUUAAAUAGUUACAAUGAAUUCCUUACAUAUCAAUAAAAUAUUCUUUCCUACUAGCUUACUCAUCUUAUAUACUAACUUAAUUAUGUUAGUGUCAGUGACAUGCUUUUCUAUUCUCCCAAAGGACUAAAUUUUACCUUUCAACUUGGCUUCUUUCACUACUGAACUUAUGUUUAGGAAUAUUUUUCUCCUUACUCCUAACUAUGCUUGGUUAUGCUCACUUUGUUACAUUCUCUCAUGUUUUCUCUCUCCAUAUUUAUCAACCUUACACUAUUUAACUUCCAAAUUUAGUACCAUUUCAUCUUCUAGAGGCCUUCUCUACAAUCCCAAGCUCACUGAUCUCUUUACUUUUGUGUCUGUAAUGUUAUCUUUAGUAAGCCUCAUUUGGAUCACUGAUUGUAUUACUGUUUUGUUUUAUGUUUUUUUGGUACUGGGGAUAGAACUCGGGUCCUUGCGCUUGCGCAGCAGGC